rnacentral:lncRNA from 1 species
UCAACCUCUCGCAAGAACUGGAUCCUGUCCAAACUUCUCCAGCGGAUGGAUUUCGAACGAGCUUCUAUGACGGAUGAGCUCCAGCAGCUAGGUCCCUGCGAUGGUCGAUCGCCCCUAAUGUCUGCUGAGCCUCCCCAGUGCUAUCCAAAGUCCAUCAUCGAUCUACCUCCUACCAAGCUCCUCGUAAAAUCGAGCUUCCCCAGCGG